rnacentral:rRNA from 1 species
UUAAUUGAAGAGUUUGAUCAUGGCUCAGAUUGAACGCUGGCGGCAGGCCUAACACAUGCAAGUCGAGCGGCAGCACAGAGGAACUUGUUCCUUGGGUGGCGAGCGGCGGACGGGUGAGUAAUGCCUGGGAAAUUGCCCGGUAGAGGGGGAUAACCAUUGGAAACGAUGGCUAAUACCGCAUAACCUCGCAAGAGCAAAGCAGGGGACCUUCGGGCCUUGCGCUACCGGAUAUGCCCAGGUGGGAUUAGCUAGUUGGUGAGGUAAGGGCUCACCAAGGCGACGAUCCCUAGCUGGUCUGAGAGGAUGAUCAGCCACACUGGAACUGAGACACGGUCCAGACUCCUACGGGAGGCAGCAGUGGGGAAUAUUGCACAAUGGGCGCAAGCCUGAUGCAGCCAUGCCGCGUGUAUGAAGAAGGCCUUCGGGUUGUAAAGUACUUUCAGUAGGGAGGAAGGUGGUUAAG